CCUACGGGAGGCAGCAGUGAGGAAUAUUGGUCAAUGGGCGCGAGCCUGAACCAGCCAAGUCGCGUGAGGGAAGACGGCCCUAUGGAUUGUAAACUUCUUUUGUAGUGGAGUAAAACACGCUACGUGUAGCGUUUUGAGAGUACCAUAUGAAAAAGCAUCGGCUAACUCCGUGCCAGCAGCCGCGGUAAUACGGAGGAUUCGAGCGUUAUCCGGAUUUAUUGGGUUUAAAGGGUUCGCAGGCGGAUGAUAAAGUUAGCGGUAAAAUGUGGGGCCUCAACCUCUUCGAGCCGUUGAAACUGGUUGUCUUGAGUUAGUGAGAAGUAGGCGGAAUGUGUGGUGUAGCGGUGAAAUGCAUAGAGAUCACGCAGAACUCCGAUUGCGAAGGCAGCUUACCGA
rnacentral:rRNA from 1 species